GUGCUCGCUUUGGCAGCACAUAUACUAAAAUUGGAACGAUACAGAGAAGAUUAGCAUGGCCCCUGCACAAGAACUGGUACUGAGAGGGGGGAAACACAGUGUG